rnacentral:rRNA from 1 species
AUUGAACGCUGGCGGCAGGCCUAACACAUGCAAGUCGAGCGGAGCGGCGGACGGGUGAGUAAUGCCUAGGAAUCUGCCUGGUAGUGGGGGAUAACGUCCGGAAACGGGCGCUAAUACCGCAUACUAUCAGAUGAGCCUAGGUCGGAUUAGCUAGUUGGGUGGGUAAAGGCCUACCAAGGCGACGAUACGUAACUGGUCUGAGAGGAUGAGCAGUCACAUUGGAACUGUGACACGGUGCAGACUCCUACGGGUGUCAGAAGUGGGGAAUAGUGGACAAUGGGCGAAAGCCUGAUCCAGCCAUGCGGCGUGUGUGAAGAGGGUCUUCGGAUGGUAAAGCACUUUAAGUUGGGAGGCGUUACCAACAGAAUAAGCACCGGCUAACUUCGUGCCAGCCGCCGCGGUAAUAC